CCCAAUUCUGCGUCUCCCUGUAGCCAGAGACACCUCAGUGUGGGGGCCCCCGGUGUUGUCACAAUCACGCAUCACAAGUCGCCUGCAGCCGCCCGAAGAGCCAAGAGUCAGUAUUCCGGCCAGCUUCACGAAGUCAGAGAGAUGAUGAACCAGGUGGAAGGGCAGCAGAAGAACCUUGUGCACGCCAUUGAGUCCCUGCCGGGGUCCGGCCCCCUCACUGCCUUGGACCAGGACCUGCUGCUCCUGAAAGCUACCUCUGCUGCCACCCUCAGCUGCCUUGGGGAGUGCCUCAACUUGUUACAGCAGAGUGUGCACCAGGCGGGCCAGCCCAGCCAGAAGCCAGGGGCCUCGGAAAACAUCCUGGGAUGGCACGGGCCCAAGUCACAUUCCACAGAGCAGCUGAAAAAUGGGACACUUGGCUCUUUGCCAUCAGCCAGUGCCAACAUAACCUGGGCAAUUUUACCAAACUCCACUGAAGAUGAACAAACCUCACAGCCAGAGCCAGAGAGGAGACAAAUUAAAAAAUGGAAGAAUUGCCUGGAGAGACAAAAUCAGCUAUGUGCAUGCCUGGCAAUUCUCAUGUUCUUGUGUCUGGCAGCUGCUGUGGGUGAAUUGUGAUCCUACGAAUGAGGAAUCUCCUAUUUUCAUUGAAAUAGGAGUCACUUUAAUUUCAAGUGGGAGAAAUUCGAACAGACCCAUUAACAUGAUGCCUAUUGACAUGAUGGGAGCAGUUACAAUAUAUUAUGUCGCUCCCCUGAAUAACGGCUUCUUCAUAUGGUUCCUGCUAAUACAAGCUCUUGCCUCGCAUGCUCGACUCCUGCAUGCUCCUGAGCCAGGCCGGGAUCCGUGGGGCCAUGGCCAACACUCCUUUUGGGCAUUGAGCUGCAGCCCAAGUUCAGGCUGCUGAGGAUAUGCACUGCCUCGUCAGGAGAGUAGUCCUUGCAGAUCCUGUGACCAGCCAGGCUCCAACAGGCUUCAUGGACUCUCUGUCACCUGCCCUCGGCUCAGCUUUCCUAACUCUGCCUCUAAGUGGCCGCUGGAGGGGAGCCAAAUGCGGCGUUUCCUUUUGUCAAUUUU
rnacentral:sRNA from 1 species